AUGAAAUUUUAUUCAUCGGAAAAAGAAGGUGGCAAUGCGAGACCUAAUGCAAUGAUGAGAGAUUUCUGCAAUUGUUUAGGAGAGUGCGGCCUCGAGGAUAUGGGAUGUAUUGGUGAUCCUUUCACUUGGAGGAGAGGCGACACUAGAGAGAGACUUGACAGGGCUAUUUGCAAUGUGGAAUGGGAAAAUAUUUUCCCCUGGGCUGCGGUUAUAAAUGAGUAACAUGUUCAUUCUGAUCAUCGUCCCAUCGUCCUGCAUACUGAAUACUUUGAUGUCAAUAUUUUUAAACCUCCAAGAGGACGAGUGAAACAAUUUGAAGCUAGAUGGCUUAAAGAGGAAACAAUCGUUGAGAUUGUGCGUACACCCACGAUAGGAGCCGCGCGUAUCUCAUCUCAGGCCACGGUCGGAUGGGACAAUCUACGAGUAAAACCAAUCCUCGAGUUUCCACGUGGUGGCCCCGCAGGCUGCCUGGUUUGGACCAACACUCAUGAGGAGCACUGGCUCGGGUUGUUGAUUAAUUAUCCUCGGGUGCUAGCAUGUCCCUAUGCAAGUAUUAGUUGUUAUUAG
rnacentral:rRNA from 1 species